rnacentral:misc_RNA from 1 species
UCCGGCUUAUCACCGGCAGUCUCGUCAGAGUGCCCAACUUAAUGAUGGCAACAGACGACAAGGGUUGCGCUCGUUGCGGGACUUAACCCAACAUCUCACGACACGAGCUGACGACAGCCAUGCAGCACCUGUAUCCGGUCCAACUAAAUGAAGAGGUGCAUCUCUGCUCCUCCCAACCGGUAUGUCAAGGGGUGGUAAGGUUCUUCGCGUUGCUUCGAAUUAAACAACAUACUCCACCGCUUGUGCGGGUCCCCGUCAAUUCCUUUGAGUUUUAAUCUUGCGACCGUACUCCCCAGGCGGUGUGUUUAAUGCUUUCGCUAUGUCACCGAGACCGUAAGAUCCCGACAACUAACACACAUCGUUUACAGCGUGGACUAC